ACCACAAGAUCAUAGAAGUACUGA
rnacentral:piRNA from 1 species